rnacentral:rRNA from 1 species
AGUUUGAUCAUGGCUCAGAGCGAACGCUGGCGGUAUGCUUAACACAUGCAAGUCGAGCGAGAAAGUGGCUUCGGCCACGAGUACAGCGGCGGACGGGUGCGUAACACGUGGAUAAUCUGCCUUCAGGUCUGGGAUAACCCUGGGAAACUAGAGCUAAUACCGGAUAAGACCACAGGUUUCAUGGAACCAGUGGUAAAAGGCGGCUUUCGGGCUGUCUCCUGAAGAUGAGUCCGCGUCCCAUCAGGUUGUUGGUGAGGUAACGGCUCACCAAGCCUAAGACGGGUAGCCGACCUUAGCGGGUGAUCGGCCACACGGGGACUGAGACACGGCCCCGACUCCUACGGGAGGCAGCAGUGGGGAAUCUUGGGCAAUGGGCGAAAGCCUGACCCAGCAAUACCGCGUGAGGGAUGAAGGCCUUCGGGUCGUAAACCUCUGUCAGCAGGAACGAUGGGUCUCCGUGCUAAUACCACGGAGACUUGACGGUACCUGCAAAGGAAGCCCCGGCUAACUCCGUGCCAGCAGCCGCGGUAAUACGGAGGGGGCAAGCGUUGCUCGGAAUUAC